rnacentral:misc_RNA from 1 species
GAUGAAGAACGUAGCGAAAUGCGAUAAGUAAUGUGAAUUGCAGAAUUCAGUGAAUCACCGAAUCUUUGAACGCACAUUGCGCCCGCCAGUAUUCUGGCGGGCAUGCCUGUCUGAGCGUCAUUUCAACCCUCAUGCCCCUAGGGCGUGGUGUUGGGGAUCGGCCAAAGCCCGUGAGGGACGGCCGGCCCCUAAAUCUAGUGGCGGACCCGUCGUGGCCUCCUCUGCGAAGUAGUGAUAUUCCGCAUCGGAGAGCGAUGAGCCCCUGCCGUUAAACCCCCAACUUUCCAAGGUUGACCUCAGAUCAGGUAGGAAUACCCGCUGAACUUAAGCAUAUCAAUAAGCGGAGGA